GGGGUAUGCGGAGGGAUCAUUACCGAGUUUACAACUCCCAAACCCAAUGUGAACCAUACCAAACUGUUGCCUCGGCGGGGUCACGCCCCGGGUGCGUCGCAGCCCCGGAACCAGGCGCCCGCCGGAGGGACCAACCAAACUCUUUUCUGUAGUCCCCUCGCGGACGUUAUUUCUUACAGCUCUGAGCAAAAAUUCAAAAUGAAUCAAAACUUUCAACAACGGAUCUCUUGGUUCUGGCAUCGAUGAAGAACGCAGCGAAAUGCGAUAAGUAAUGUGAAUUGCAGAAUUCAGUGAAUCAUCGAAUCUUUGAACGCACAUUGCGCCCGCCAGUAUUCUGGCGGGCAUGCCUGUCCGAGCGUCAUUUCAACCCUCGAACCCCUCCGGGGGGUCGGCGUUGGGGACCUCGGGAGCCCCUAAGACGGGAUCCCGGCCCCGAAAUACAGUGGCGGUCUCGCCGCAGCCUCUCCUGCGCAGUAGUUUGCACAACUCGCACCGGGAGCGCGGCGCGUCCACGUCCGUAAAACACCCAACUUCUGAAAUGUGACCUCGAUCAGUAGAGACGAAUC
rnacentral:rRNA from 1 species